GAUGAAGAAACGCAGCGAAAUGCGAUAAGUAAUGUGAAUUGCAGAAUUCAGUGAAUCAUCGAAUCUUUGAACGCACAUUGCGCCCGCCAGUAUUCUGGCGGGCAUGCCUGUUCGAGCGUCAUUACAACCCUCAGGCCCCCGGGCCUGGCGUUGGGGAUCGGCGGAGCCCCCCGUGGGCACACGCCGUCCCCCAAAUGCAGUGGCGGUCCCGCCGCAGCUUCCAUCGCGUAGUAGCUAACACCUCGCGACUGGAGAGCGGCGCGGCCACGCCGUAAAACACCCAACUCUUCUGAAGUUGACCUCGAAUCAGGUAGGAAUACCCGCUGAACUUAAGCAUAUCAAUAAGCGGAGGA
rnacentral:misc_RNA from 1 species